AUGGAUCUCAAUAUUGUACUGCGGCUUUUAUACAACCCUGUCUCGUACAGUAUACAUUAUUAAUAAGUGACAUUCAAACUCAAUCGCUUGUAUUUCCUGGCGUUGAGACCGUCUGUCUCAGUGUCUCAGAUGUGCAGCAAGAGCCAGGUCUUGUGCAGCAGAUCUCUCCCAUUCUCCACACGGCAUCGAAGUGACUUUUAUAGACAAUAUUUUUACUGUAUCGGUAUUUCAAUAUACUGUCCGGUAUGGAUUGUUUUUUUUUUUUUCGCCUGACCUUGUUUUUGUCCCUCUAUCUGAGCAAACGUCGUUUGUUAUUGAGGAUGCCCCAGAUCGUGUUGUUCGGAUCACGUUGUUGCUGUAACUUCCACUCAGCUGCCCUGCCCCGCCCCCGCCGCGGAGGACAGAAUGUUCUUUUCCGUGAACUGCGAGUGAACUUGAGCUCAGAGGGAACAUGGCACAGCACCAUAGCGUGCGUUACCGUCAAACUCCAAAGUCUUUCACUAUUACACGAUAGCUCGAAGCAUACCUCGAAGCACAGUGAAGCCCAUCAUUAAAAAGGUGAGAAAUUAUGGAACAACUUUGAAUCUGCCCAGAACUGGCCGUCCUCCAAAAUUGAGUGUCCAGACAAGAAGAGCCGUAAUAAAGGAGGCCACCAUGAGGCCUACGGCAACUCUAAAGGAGUUAGAGGUGAGUGUACUCUGUGUGCUCUGGGUGAUGGUGUAGAGGCUGCAGGCUGGGUGUGUGCUCCUGGAGUGAGGUGCUCUGUGUGCUCUGGGUGAAGGUGUAGAGGCUGCAGGCUGGGUGUGUGCUC
rnacentral:lncRNA from 1 species